GAAUUUUGGUAUAAAAAGUGCGAGGCCAUCAUCAGCAAGUCAGUCAAGAAAAUGUAGUUGUCAGUAUUAUAAGUCUCAAAUUGAGAAUUGAGAAGUGGUGCUCCGUACAAGUCAGUCUAAAUUUUCCAUCAUCAAGAACUGGUCUCGUCCACUGAAAAGUACAAAUAUUCUUUAUACCAAGUUUUUCUAAAUCCUGUGUUCGGAAGUCUUGUUCGACUUUGUGAAUUCAUAGUUAACACAAGGAAAAUUAACAAGGAUUCAUAGGUAAUUAUUGUCAACCUGCAACCACUUAGAAGCUAAUUUGCCUGUGAAAAGCCUAUUGUAUUUGGACGACGCAACCUUAGAAGGACCUCCCGCUGUUCCAAGGAAGUUCAUAGACAACAUCUAUUCCCAUCGUAAAGGUUCAUCUCAUUCCCGAGGACCAUGAGGCGGUCUUUUCUUUUUGGAUAAAAGGAGAAAUUUAAAUUAGAUAAUUCAUGUUGAUCUCCUUCUAUAUAGUUGUGUAUGUUGGGAAGAUAAUAUUUAGGGACGUCUCACGUGAUCAUCAAGUCGGUGGGGAAGACGCUGGUUUUUGGAAAAACGUCCGUCGAUUCUGGAGAAUUUGCGUAUGAUCAAUUACUUGGUCAUCGUAACUCCAGAUUGACGGACGGAUCCGCGCCACGUUUCUGAGUGCCGGCCGAGGACACUGAGAGUGUGGCGAUUUGAAGUGGGCGGGUCUUAAAGUCCAAUAAGAAAAGAAGUCUCAUUCGUGAAGUUGGAAUCUUAUUCAUUAAUUCGAAGGAGGAGAUCAACAUUUAGUACAAUUUAUAAUAAAAUCAUCACUAAGGAGGAAUCGGGAAUAAUUUUUUAUCCGAGUUUCUCAUCGAGGGUCAAUUAGUAUCCAAAAUUCUCACCAUAUCGAUCUCCCGCCAAACCGACGCCUAAAUUUUGCCCAGAUAAGUAUGGUGCAUAAGUCAUGAAUGAUCUGGAGUGAAAAUGCUAAUUCUUAUAUCAUUUUUGUUAAUUUGUAUAUUGACUUUUUAAUUGUAUACUGAUAUUAACUUUAUUUGACCAAGUAACUCAUUUCUCUUAAUAGAAAUUAUAUGACUAUAAUAAUUUUAUUAUAUAUUUAAUGAUUUGAUAUUCAAUUGAUCUUUUGAUCUAUAAUUUUGAUUGACAUUUAUAAUUAAGGUUUUUUGGUAUAUCGAAGUUUUUAUUUGUAUUAUGUUUUGUAUAUUUGUGUGAAAGAGUCAAUUUCGUGCGUGUGUGUAUUUAUAUUGUAUUUUUAAGUGGUACCACUAAUUUAGGAAUUCAUUAUUGGAAUAAAUCUCGAGAAAUAUAUUUAUAUUGUUUAUCGUAUAAUUUCCAUUUGACCUCAAAUAAUUUUGUGUUAUGCAAUCUAAUUUUCAAUCUUA